AGUGGUGGGUUGUGCAGGGUGGAGAAGCAGGGCACGUGCAUGGCUUGCACGUCUUCUUCUUCCACCAACGAAGGCUGUGCCUGUUCUUCAUGUGCCCAUCUUCUCCACCAUGCACAGCCAAUCUUAUUUCACCGCA
rnacentral:pre_miRNA from 15 species